GAUGAACGCUAGCGGCAGGCUUAAUACAUGCAAGUCGAGGGACAGCACAGGUAGCAAUACUGGGUGGUAACCGGCAAACGGGUGCGGAACACGUACACAACCUUCCUUUAAGUGGGGGAUAGCCCAGAGAAAUUUGGAUUAAUACCCCGUAAUAUAGUUGAAUGGCAUCAUUUGAUUAUUAUAGCUACGGCGCUUAAUGAUGGGUGUGCGGCUGAUUAGAUAGUUGGCGGGGUAACGGCCCACCAAGUCUACGAUCAGUAGCUGAUGUGAGAGCAUGAUCAGCCACACGGGCACUGAGACACGGGCCCGACUCCUACGGGAGGCAGCAGUAAGGAAUAUUGGUCAAUGGACGCAAGUCUGAACCAGCCAUGCCGCGUGAAGGAUUAAGGUCCUCUGGAUUGUAAACUUCUUUUAUUUGGGACGAAAAAGGGCCUUUCUAGGUCAACUGACGGUACCAGAUGAAUAAGCACCGGCUAACUCCGUGCCAGCAGCCGCGGUAAGAC
rnacentral:rRNA from 1 species